ACCAAACGGCUAGUUUGGUGGUUGGGGCUAUAAAUACCCCCAACCACCCACCAUUCAUGGUAUCCAAGUUUUCAACCUUCCAACCACUUACAAGAGCUAGGCAUUGAAUACAAGACACACCCAAGUGAUCAAAUCCUCUCCCAAUUCCACAAAAGCAUUAGUGACUAGUCAGAGUGAUUUGUCGUGUUCUUUUGAGCUCUUGCGCUUGGAUCGCUUUCUUCUUUCUCAUUCUUUCUUGUGAUCAAACACACACUUGUAACCAAGGCAAGAGACACCAAUUGUGUGGUGGUCCUUGCGAGGAAGUUUUGUUCCCGGUUGAUUUGAGAAGAGAAAGCUCACUCGGUCCGAGGGACCGUUUGUGUAACACCCCGGGAUCCACAAACACCCCAGAAUGCUACUAAACUACACAUCUAAUAUUCAUAUAUAAAAUUUCGACAGCAUCUCCUUUGAAAAUUGCAUAAAUGGGGGGAAGCAACAAAGUAUAAAUAGAUAUCAUGAUAAGAAAACAUAUAAGACAUUAAUAAUCUGCUAGCAAUGGGAAGACAACCAUAACAACAUGAACUGAAUUAAUCAGUGCGCACGACUAGUUAAAAACAAACAUCCUUUGACAAGAAGUUUCUAAUUAAAUCAUGGCUGCGUCUGGGCAGCAUUAUUAUGAGAAUGAAGGUGGAUGUGCUGCUACUUCCCACUCCCCUUGAUGAGCAACAAGCACCUGCAUUGAGUAAUGCAAGAGUGAGAUGAAACAUCUCAGCAAGCUAAUUGUUCUGACGAGAUAUUUAAACCACAAAUUGAAUUCAUCAACAUUUUAAAAGAGUCACAAUUAAAAAUCAGAAAUGCUUGUAGAUAUAGAACUCAGUAGUCCCACUAUAACCAAUACCAUCUCAUUUCCUCGAACAACCACAAUAGGUUCUAUAACACUUCCCUGCGUCAACAAUACCUGCAAAUAUCACUUCAAUGCAUGCAUAGGAAUGCAAUGUGUAGGUACUCUAUCUUCAUACCUCUGGGGGUAUAAAACCACAUCAUCUGCAAAUAUCACUUCAAUGAAUGCAUAUGAAUGCAAUGCAUAUGUCCUCUGCCUUCAUACCUCUAAGGGUAUGAAGCCGCAUCGUACCCCUUCUCGGGCAACGUACAUGCUAAGUUGUACCGGUACGGUCGGACCAUAGGUCACGACAAAACUUCAUAUGCAAAUGAGUCAUGCAAUGUAUAUGGAAUGCUACAUUUAUCAAUAAACUUCACUUCCUUCAGAUACAACACAAACCUCAAAUAAUACUUCAUUUACCUUCAGAUACAAUACCAACCUCAAAUAAUACUUCAUUUACCUUCAGGGGUGUGAAUUAAUCUCAUGAGUCAUACUCAAAUCAUAAUCAUCAUCAAUAUAUGAUUGAGCAUCAGUAUAAUGCAAGCAAGUAAAGCAUCACCAUAGAGUCCAAUUAUGAAAGAAUCUGAUACUUCUGAAUAUUAGAGUGUAGGCGAUAGAAAUAACAGGUCAGAACGGAAGCAACCACCGCUACAUUCACUUGCCUUCAUCGAAGAAGAAGAAAUGUACUAGACAUGAUCUGGAGUGUAGCCACCUGCUAGUGGGUAUAAAACUUAGUACAAAUAUUUCACAAACAUUUGCCAUCAAUCAACAAAACACUCCUACACUUGAAACCAAGACCCAGUGGAAAGACUCCCACCCUGAACCACAUGCCAUACAGCAGCAACGCUGUUUGUUAAUUUUGUAUCUUUAAAAUUAAAACAGCGGUGAUAUCAAACAAAUACUCUAGGAGUAUCUACACAAAAUACUCUACAACUUCAGUAUUCAAUAGAUAAUUAAAUUCUGCCAUCUACAAGUUCUAAAACAUCUGACAAGAUAAUUGACUGAAUCUGUUUUAGACAGCAGUAUGGUUAACUUUAAAAUUCGAUAUCUCCAAAACUGCUGAACCAAAAAUUAUGAAAUUCUGCUGGAAGUAAGAACUUUUAUCCCUCUACAAAAGUCUUCAUAGUUGGAAGAGCCAAUUCGGCCAUUUACUAGAUGAAACCCACCAGUGAACAGACCCACUCAUUUUUGUCAGGUAAACAGGAACAGCCACAGUAAAACAAACAUAACUGGAGUUUCACAAAUCAUAUGAAUGCACUCUUUAACAAUCUGGAAAGCUUAUAAAAUUAUCUACAACUUCUUUUACCAACCCACAGUUUAUAUCUGUUGAUAAAAUUGCCUAAAUCUUAAGAGAACAGAUUCUGCACAGAAUUAUGAGACUGAAAAACUGCUAUAGUAAAACUGCAAUAACUUUCUGGUCGGAUGUCCGAUUGAGGUGUUCUUUGCGGCCACGGAAAGAUCUACAAAUUAUCUACGACUCAUACAUAGACUUUUUAUUUUUUUGAGGCCACUAAGACCACGGAAAACUGGCAUGAACAGAAACUGUCGAAUCUGCCAUUCUGCAGAAAACUAAAUUCGAGAUCAAAACCUAACCCCACAUCAAAUCCAACCUCUAAUCCUUUAAUUCCCAUGAUCCACAACCUCCAAAAGCCUAUAAUUACAGGGAGGAACAAGGAUCUCAUCCAUACCUAGGGUUUCCCCAAGAAAUCUUCAAGAGGAGAUGGGGAAGAACAUCCCCUUGAUCCUCUCUUCCUCUUCAAUUCAACGUGCCCCUCCUUUUCUCGAUCCUUGCUGCGUAGGGGGAGAUCUUGGGGGAGGAAGCAAUGGAGGAUGGCUGCUAUAGGUGGAGGGGGCGUCCAGCCAAGG
rnacentral:lncRNA from 1 species